rnacentral:rRNA from 1 species
AAUAGAUACCCCGGUAGUCCACGCCGUAAACGAUGAGUGCUAAGUGUUAGAGGGUUUCCGCCCUUUAGUGCUGCAGCUAACGCAUUAAGCACUCCGCCUGGGGAGUACGGCCGCAAGGCUGAAACUCAAAGGAAUUGACGGGGGCCCGCACAAGCGGUGGAGCAUGUGGUUUAAUUCGAAGCAACGCGAAGAACCUUACCAGGUCUUGACAUCCUCUGCCAACCCUAGAGAUAGGGCGUUCCCCUUCGGGGGGACAGAGUGACAGGUGGUGCAUGGUUGUCGUCAGCUCGUGUCGUGAGAUGUUGGGUUAAGUCCCGCAACGAGCGCAACCCUUGAUCUUAGUUGCCAGCAUUCAGUUGGGCACUCUAAGGUGACUGCCGGUGACAAACCGGAGGAAGGUGGGGAUGACGUCAAAUCAUCAUGCCCCUUAUGACCUGGGCUACGCACGUGCUACAAUGGAUGGUACAAAGAGCUGCGAACCCGCGAGGGUAAGCGAAUCUCAUAAAGCCAUUCUCAGUUCGGA